UGGGGAAUAUUGGACAAUGGGCGAAAGCCUGAUCCAGCAAUGCCGCGUGAGUGAUGAAGGCCUUAGGGUUGUAAAGCUCUUUUACCCGGGAUGAUAAUGACAGUACCGGGAGAAUAAGCUCCGGCUAACUCCGUGCCAGCAGCCGCGGUAAUACGAAGGGGGCUAGCGUUGUUCGGAUUUACUGGGCGUAAAGCGCGUGUAGGCGGACUUGUAAGUUGGGGGUGAAAUCCCGAGGCUCAACCUCGGAACUGCCUCCAAAACUACAAAUCUGGACCUAAGUAGAGGCAAGUGGAAUUGCGAGUGUAGAGGUGAAAUUCGUAGAUAUUCGCAGGAACACCAGUGGCGAAGGCGACUUGCUGGACUUAUGGUGACGCUGAGACGCGAAAGCGUGGGGAGCAAACAGGAUUAGAUACCCAAGUAGUCCCUGAGCGGGCUGGCAAGGCGCAU
rnacentral:rRNA from 1 species